rnacentral:rRNA from 1 species
CAAAUUCUAGGGACGUGUGCUUCUUGAAGAUCUAGCUUCGCCUAGGUACUAUUGCGUAUGGUGAAGUUUGGUCCGUUCUUCCCCCGUAAAUCCAUAAAGCAAAUCUAUAGGCAUCAGGCGCGCAAAUUACUCACUCCCGGCACGGGGAGGUAGUGACGAAAAAUAACAUUACGGGACUCUUUUGAGGCCCCGUAAUUGAAAUGAGUACACUCUAAAUCCUUUAACGAGGAUCAAUUUGAGGGCAAGUCUGGUGCCAGCAGCCGCGGUAAUUCCAGCUCCAAUAGCGUAUACUAAAGCUGCUGCGGUUAAAAAGCCCGUAGUUGGAUCUCAGUUCCAGACGAGUAGUGCAUCUACCCGAUGCGACGGCUCGGACUGAACAUCAUGCCGGUUCUUUCUUGGUGCACUUCAUUGUGUGCCUUGAGAUGGCCGGUGCUUUUACUUUGAAAAAAAAAAAUAGAGUGCUCAACGCAGGUGAGUCGCCUGAAUAAACUUGCAUGGAAUAAUAGAACAAGACCUCGUUUCUGUUCUGUUGGUUUUUGGGAGACAACCUAGUGAGGCUUUUGUUCAACUACAGGAGAACGCCGCAGAAGAUGGGGGAGUCUCUGUCCGAGUUGAUACGAGGUUUUCAGUUGCGAUCACGA